GCCCUUUGUAAUUUUUGUUGUGCGUGUUGGGAAUUGAAUUUAGGGCCUCAUUCCCAUGAAGCAAGUGCCUGUCACCCAGCUUUGCAAUCCUUUCUGAUAAACCAGUAGAUGUAUUUCCCAGGGUUCUGUGAACUGUACAAGCAAAUUAAUUGAACCAGAGGAAGAGGUGACAGGAACCUUGGUUUAAUUAAUUAACUAAUCCUGGUCUAAAUAAUUAAUUUAAUUUGGAGCCACACUUUCCCUAUACAGCUCAGACUGGCCUUAAACAUGCAAUCCUGCUGUCUGUACCUCACCCCCAAAUGCUGGGAUUUAUACAUGUGUACUAUCACACUUGGAUAUAGAAUCAUUCAUUCAUUCAUUCAUUCAUUCAUUUGGUUUUGUUUGUUUGCUUUUUAAAUGGCGCUGAGGAUUGAGCCCAGAGCUGUUUGUGGGCUCUACCAUUAAGCUACUUCAUAGCCUAUUUAUUUUAUGAUGACUAUUUUUAAUAGAGCCCCAGUUUAAAGCAGGCAAGUCAGAGGCAGGCAGAUUAGCCUGGGCUUGCAGUGAAAAUCUAAAGCUUGUGUGUUUGGAUGUACACGCAGUCCUGGGGGCUCAGCCCCCAACCUAUGGGACCUGCCACCAAUUCCAGGCUCAUCCUGCCAAAAUUAAAUUAUGGUAGAGGACACCCACCCAGCUGGCAUUUGCUGCUGCAGCUAUGACUUGCUUAUGGGUGCCCCCCCCACCCCCGCCCACAAGCCUGACAUGAGAAGUCUGUAGUCUGUAGAGAGUGAGAAAUUGAAUCUUUUCCUGUGGCCUCCAAAGGGCUGACCAUGCAUGCGGUGGUGAUUGGCUGGGAAUGCAGGAGGUGAUGGUUGGUUGGGGUAGGUUCUAGUGUGUGGGUGUGGGGACAGGUAGUGUAGGCAGGUGACGUCAGGAUCUGACCUUUGAGCAACUCGUGUCUCGCCCUGUGUGUAGGUGUCUAUGCUUAAUUUGGCAGAGCUGUUUGUUUCUUCUCUGAAUGGGCUUCCUGCAUUCAGAUAGGACGUCAGGUGCUGGGAUGACAGUUGACAGGCAGCGGCAGGGGACUUGGGGUUUGCAAUGGUUAUGUGACUUAAUGAUACCCUUCCUGUAUCUCUGUCAUGACUGUCAAACUGUCACAGCAAUGGUGAGUUAGGGUGGGGUUUCCUCUUUAAAAUAACACGUACUCUGGUCCCCGGUGCCUGCAAAGCAGUGACAAGGUGGCCCUCCUACUCACAAGGAGUUUCUCUGAGCCUGGGGUUGGCUUUCCCUUUCAGGAAACCAAACCCGAGAAGGGCAAAGGGCGGCGUCUGGAAUUACUGAGGUGACUCAGUGAUAGGGACUUCUGAGAGAAGCAAUUGUGGGUGUGCCCUCAGUUCAACUGGGUCAGAAACCUGACCAUGCCCCCUCCCCCACAUGCCCUACGUUCAUCCACCCGCUGCCAAGCUUCCAGAAUUGUUCAGGAGGCACACGCUUCUGCUAGAUGCUUGCCAGGACAAGAACGGGAGGCCAUGAGUGCGCAUGUGUAUAGAGCAUGUGUAGAGGGAUCUAGGUCCGGGGGCCUCGGGUGACUAAAUCCCAAACUUGAGGGAGAGCCACAGAGUCAGACAGCAGGAAGUCUUACCUAAAGCCACUUAUCGUGUAUUUGAGGUUUUCACAUCCGCACAACCAGUUUUCCUGUCAGCAGCCGCUAGAGCAGACCAAGCCAGCCCCAGAGAGAGAGAGUCUGAACUCAUGGUCUUCUGAAGAUGAGAAGAGCUGGUCAGAGAGCUCUGUGGGCAGCCAAGAAGCAUGGCUGUGAUGAUCCAGGGUCAUUCAGGAUCUGUGAGGUGAUGGUCAGGAGAAGAGUGCUCUAAAAGUAAAGGACUUAAGGGUUGUGUUGUAGCAUGAAGAACACAUUUAAAUAAAACAAGGUUCUGAAUCAAGCAUUAGAAGAAGAAGAAGAAGAAGAAGAAGAAGAAGAAGAAGAAGAAGAAGAAGAAGAAGAAGAAGAAGAAGAAGAAGAAGAGAAAAGUCGCAAAGCCAGGAACCACCUGCAGGGGCAUCCACACUGAUGAGUCUGGCCAGGACCACAGAACUCUUUCAUAAAUUGCCUUGGGCAUGAUGUUUUGUCAUGGGCAACAGAAAAGUAACUGAGAUGGGGAUGUUUCCCAAGGUGACAGGAGCCCUUACUAGAACCCUGCUCAGGAGACUGGAUUCCCAUUGCUGUCUUGCUAGUUGGCCAAGUGUGCGGUUGGGAACAUGGGUCCCUUCUGAGACUUUGUCUGCAACUUGACCAUGAGUCCCAGCCAGCUAUAUUUCUAAGAUGCUGUCAGCCUUAACAUCUUAUAAUUCUAAGUGACAAGUAUGAAUAAGAAAUAAGGAACAGAGGUGGCAGAUGAAACCAACGCACCCCCUUGUACAGCGGUGGCCCAGGUCUGGAUUCUGAGCAGCUCCUGCAUACCUUUUUUGAUAUCAAUUCUGUCCAACUGAGUACAUUCUGUUAAGAAGAUGAGCAAACCCACAGCUAGGGAAAGGAAGUGAGCCUCCAUGAAAGGGACUCUGUCCUGGUGGCUAUACUCUCUGCAAAAGUUUCUAGUCUUGCCAGUCCCGGUGUCUGGGUUGCUGUUUCACAUUUGAGGGGAAUGAUUGAUUAACAAAAAUGGAACAAUUAGCUCCACUCACCUUUCCCCCACCCUAACAGGUCUGCUCCCUCCAGCUCCAGCCUUCAGGAUUGAACUUUUGAUCCACUCCUCAUGCUGUCUGUUGGUCUUAUUUGUCCCCUGCAGGCGCUUUGCUGUAUAAGGUUUAAGUAAGAAAAUGGCUAGCUUCCAAAAUGACAACCGCAGUCCAGUCUGGGGCUGAAUCCAGGUCAGAUAAGCCAGAUACCUUUCAUCUUACCUGGAAGCUAACACCUUCCUCUCAGGUCUAACAGGAGGAGAGAUCAGGGAAUUCAGCUCUAGGUCUCUUUCUCCUCUCACUUUACUUUGGCUUCCUACUAUGACUGAUAAAUAUUGCUGUGAAAUCC